GACGAACCGUGCAAACGUUGUUCGGAAUCACUGGGCUUAAAGGGCGCGUAGGCGGCUUGCAAAGUCAGGGGUGAAAUCUUUCGGCUCAACCGGAAAAGUGCCUCUGAUACUGGCAGGCUUGAGUGAGGUAGGGGCAUGUGGAACUUCCGGUGGAGCGGUGAAAUGCGUUGAUAUCGGAAGGAACGCCGGUGGCGAAAGCGACGUGCUGGACCUCUUCUGACGCUGAGGCGCGAAAGCUAGGGGAGCGAACGGG
rnacentral:rRNA from 1 species